CUUGUGGGAAAAAUUCACAUUCUAUAGAAAAUCCGCUUCCCCUUUUGUUUUCCUUCCUUUCUUUCCAAAUCCAGGAGAUAAUCAAGUAAGAGCCAGGCACCCUUUUAAGUCUGAGUAAGAAACAAUUUAAAAACUGCUCUCUCUGAAGUCAGCUGAGAGCUUCCUCUGCACGAUAAAACUUGGUCUCCACAAUCCUUUAUCUUUAACCUGAACAUUCCUUUCUAUCCCUAUGGAUCCCAUGUCUUUAGACAAACUCAACCAAUCGUCAACCAGAAAAUGUUUAAAUUUACCUAUAGCCUGGAACCCCCACCCCUGCCCCCCUGUAGCUUUGAAUUGUCCCACCUUUCUGAACCAAAUCAAUGUAUUUCUUAAAUCUAUUUGAUUGACAUCUCAUGCCUCCCUAAAAUAUAUAAAGCCAAAUUGCACCCCAACCACCUUGGACACAUGUUCUCAGGACCUACUAAGGGCUGUGUCAUGGGCCAUGGUCCUUCAUAUUUGACUCAGAAUAAAUCUCUUAAAAUAUUUUACCAAGUUUCACUCUUUUUGUCAACAGCUUUAAGGCUGAAAAAUAUUCUGUUGUUUGUAUGUUUCAUGCGCGUCCGUGUAAAGAGACCACCAAACAGGCUUUGUGUGAGCAACAUGGCUGUUUAUUUCACCUGGGUGCAGGUAGGCUGAGUCCGAAAACAGAGUCAGCAAAGGGAGAUAAGGGUGGGGCCGUUUUAUAGGAUUUGGGUAGGUAAAGGAAAAUUACAGUCAAAGGGGGUUUGUUCUCUGGAGGGCAGGAGUGGAGGUUGCAAGGUGCUCAGUGGGGGUGAUUUUUGAGCCAGGAUGAGCCAGGAAAAGGACUUUCACAAGGUAAUGUCAUCACUUAAGGCAAGGACCGGCCAUUUACACUUCUUUUGUGGUGGAAUGUCAUCAGUUAAGGUGGGGCAGGGCAUAUUCACUUCUUUUGUGAUUCUUCAGUUACUUCAGGCCAUCUGGGCAUAUAUGUGCAAGUCACAGGGGAUGCGAUGGCUUGGCUUGGGCUCAGAGGCCUGACAUUCCUGCCUUCUUAUAUUAAUAAGAAAAACAAAACAAAAUAGUGUUGAAGUGUUGGGGCGGCGAAAAUUUUUGGGGGGUGGUAUCGAGAGAGAGAAUGGUCGAUGUUUCUCAGGGCUGCUUCAAGCGGGAUUAGGGGCGGCGUGGGACCCUAGAGUGGGAGAGAUUAAGCUGAAGGGAGGUCUUGCGGUAAGGGGUGAUAUUGUGGGGAUGUUAGAAGAAACAUUUGUUGUAUAGAAUGAUUGGUGAUGGCCUGGAUACGGUUUUGUAUGAAUUGAAAAACUAAAUGGAAUAACAGAAGGAGAAAAACAGGUAUAAAAGGUCUAAGAAUUGGGACCACUUAGGAUAUCUGAUUAGAGAGUGCUUAAGGAGAUUCGGCAUAGUCCUGCCAGCAAAGAUCAAAGAGAGGCUGGGACGAGGGGUGCAGGGGAAUAGUGGAAAAAGGCAUCUUUAAGAUCAAGCACGGAAUAGUGAGUUGUGGAGGAGGGUAUUGAGGACAAAAGAGUGUACGGGUUGGGCACCACAGGGUGGAUAGGCAAAACAAUUUGGUUGAUAAGGCGCAGAUCCUGAACUAACUUGUAAGGCUUGUCUGGUUUUAAGACAGGUGAAAUGGGGGAAUUGUAAGGAGAGUUUAUAGGCUUUAAAAGGCAAUUUUGUAGCAGGCGAGUGAUAACAGGCUUUAAUCUUUUUAAAGCGUGCUGCUGGAUGGGAUAUUGGCGUUGAGUGGGGUAAGGGUGAUUAGGUUUUAAUGAGAUGGUAAGGGGUGCAUGAUCGGUCGCCAAGGAGGGAGUAGAGGUAUCUUAUACUUGUGGGUUAAGGUGGGGGGAUACAAGAGGAGGAUGCAAAGGAGGCUUUGGAUUGGGAAGAAGGGUGGCAAUGAGAUAUAGCUGUAGUCCAGGAAUAGUCAGGGAAGCAGAUGAUUUAAAGUGUCUCAGCCUAAUAAGGGAACUGGGCAGCUGGGGAUAACUAAAAGGAGUGCUUAAAAGAGUACUGUCUAAGUUGGCACCAGAGUUGGGGAGUUUUAAGAGGUUUAGAAGCCUGGCCGUCAAUACCCACAACAGUUAUGGAGGCAAGGGAAACGGGCCCUUGAAAAGAAGGUAAUGUGGAGUGGGUAGCCUCCGUAUUGAUUAAGAAGGGGAUGGGCUUACCUUCCACUGUGAGAGUUACCUGAAGCUUGGCGUCCGUGAUGGUCUAGGGGGCUUCCGAGGCGAUCAGGCAGCAUCAGUCUUCAGCCACUAAGCCAAGAAGAUCUGGGAAGGAGUCAGUCAGAGAGCCUCGGGCCAGAGUUCCAGGGGCUCUGGCAGUGGCUGUCAGGUGAGCUGAACAGUCCGAUUUCCAGUGGGGUCCCGCACAGAUGGGACACGGCUUAGGAGGAAUCCUGGGCUGCAGGCAUUCCUUGGCCUGGUGGUCAGAUUUCUGGCACUUGUAGCAAGCUCCUGGGGGAGGAGGUUCUGAAGGAACACCUGGCCUCUGCGGUUCAGGCGUUUGGAAGUUCUUGUAUGCUAGAGAUGUGGCUAGGGUUUGUCUCACAGUGGAGGCGAGGAAUUGCAACUUUUUUUUUUAUUAUUGUACACCUUGAAGGAGAGGUUAAUUAAGUCCUGUUGUGGGGUUUGAAGGCCAGAUUCUAAUUUUUGGAGUUUUAUUUAAUGUCCGGGGCAGAUUGGGUAAUAAAAUGUAUAUUGAGAAUAAGACGGCCUUUUGACAUUUUACCGUCUAGGGCUGUAAAGCAUCUCAGGGUUGCUGCCGAACGAGCCAUGAACUGGGCUGGGUUUUUAUAUUUGAUAAAAAAGAGCCUAAAUGCUUCUGAUUUGGGAUAAAGAAAAAGGAGCAUUAACCUUGACUAUGCCUUUGGCUCCAGCCACCUUUUUAAGAGUAAAUUGUGGGCAGGUGGGGGAGGGCUAGUCAGAGAAUGAAACUGUAAGCCGGACCAGGUGUGAGGAGGGGAGGCGAUAAAAAGAUUACAGGGUGGAGGAGCAGAGGCUGAGGAAGAAUUGGGACCUAGCUUGGCCUGGCAAGGAGGGGAGAGGUCAGAUGGGUCUGUAGAAAAGGAAGAUUAGAAAGACUCAGCUACGCUUGGGGUUGGGACUGAGGGGACAGGUGGGAGGGAAAGAAGGAAGAUUUGGGACGAGUUGCACUGGGCACAGAGACUAGGAAGGGACUGAUGUGUAAAAGAAUGCCUGGACAUCAGGCACCUCAGACCAUUUGUCAAUUUUAGGACAAGAAUUAUUUAGAUCUUGUAGGAUGGAAAAAUUGAAAGUGCCAUUUUCCGGCUAUUUGGAACUACUGUCGAGUUUGUAUUGGGGUCAAGCGGCAUUGCAGAAGAAAAUAAGAUGCUUAGAUUUUAGGUCAGAUGAGAGUUGAAGAGGUUUUAAGUUCUUAAGAAUAUAGGCUAAGGGAGAAGAAGGAGGAAUGGAAGGUGGAAGCUUGCCCAUAGUAAAGGAGGCAAGCCCAGAGAAAAGAGCAGAGACACGGAGAAGGGGUGGGGGGUUCUUGCCCUCCAGAAAAGCAGAGAAAGGGUUGGGGCAUGGAAAUAAGGAAUUGGGGCACAGAGAUAAGAGGGUGGGGCACAGAAAUAAGGGAUUGGGUGUUCUUGCCCCCUAGAAAAGCGGGACUUGCCGCUAAGGGUGAAGGAGAAGGGGUUGAGGGGUACUUGCCCCUCCCCCAGAAAAGCAGAGAAGGGGUAGAGACAAGGAGAGAAGGGGUUGGGGUACUUGCCCCUUCCUCAGAAAAGCGGGACUUGCCACUAAGGGUGAAGGACCAAGGCAGGUGUCCCUGCUUGGUCUGACACCUUUGAAAUGUGUGUGAAUAAUCAGAGAGGUGUCCCUGCAAGGAUUAAAUACCAAGGGAAGGCUGCCUUCCCAGUCCGUGACCGCCGCCGGAGUUUUGGGUCCACGGAUAAAACGUGUCUCCUUUGUCUCUACCAGAAAAUGAAAGGAAUUGAAAUUAAGAGAAGGGAGUGAUUGAAGUGUGGCGCCAAGAUUGAAAGGAGAAAGAGGUUGAAGGAUAGUGAGGGAAGCUGGAGAAGAGAGUAAAAAGAGGCCGCUUACCGGAUUUGAAAUUGGUGAGAUGUUUCUUGGGCUGGUCGGUCUGAGGACCUGAGGUCGUAGGUGGAUCUUUCUCACAGAGCAAAGAGCAGGAGGACAGGGGAUUGAUCUCCUAAGGGAGGUCCCCCGAUCUGAGUCACGACACCAAAUUUCAUGCGCGUCCCUGUGAAGAGACCACCAAACAGGCUUUGUGUGAGCAACAAGGCUGUUUAUUUCACCUGGGUGCAGGCGGGCUGAGUCCAAAGAGAGUCAGCAAAGGGAGAUAGGGGUGGGGCCGUUUUAUAGGAUUUGGGUAGGUAAAGGAAAAUUACAGUCAAAGGGGGUUUGUUCUUUGGCGGGCAGGAGUGGGGGUCGCAAGGUACUCAGUGGGGGAGCUUUUUGAGCCAGGAUGAGCCAGGAAAAGGACUUUCACAAGGUAAUGUCAUCACUUAAGGCAAGGACCGGCCAUUUACACUUCUUUUGUGGUGGAAUAUCAUCAGUUAAGGUGGGGCAGGGCAUAUUCACUUCUUUUGUGAUUCUUCAGUUACUUUGGGCCAUCUGGGCGUAUACAUGCAAGUCACAGGGGAUGCGAUGGCUUGGCUUGGGCUCAGAGGCCUGACAGUAUGCACCAUAUUUUGUUUAUCCAUUCAUUUACCAACUGAUAUUUGGCUUGCUCCUACAUUUUAGCUAUGGUGAAUAAUGCUUCUAUCAAACAUGGUUGUACGAAUAUAUCUUAAAUACCUUCUGUUCAAUUAUUUUAGAUAUAUACCGAGAAGCAGUAUUGCUGGAACAUAUGGAAAGAGGUCCUGAUCCAGACACCAAGUGAAGGUUCUUGGACCUGGCUUAAGAAAGAAUUCAGGAUUAUCUUAGUUCUGACAGG
rnacentral:lncRNA from 1 species